UCAGUCCUCCAGAGACCAGCGUGGAGCCUCUCAUCAUUUUUAUCUUGGAUGUGGGCUGGGAGCCAGAUUUCACGAUGUUAAGCUCCUCUUCUGUCAGUCACCCCGGUGCCCUAAAACUGUCCUAAAUGACUUAAUCUACAGGGCGACAGUCCUCCAGAGAGGCUGACCCUCCCACCGCGACCUUCUGUGACUUAAGAGUCUGUAUAAACGAACUGGCUCAUGAGGCACAAUCAGACAGAGAGAGAUGCGGCGAGACAAGGCUGAGGUAUGAGGUUCGUGUGACACCGGUGGGUUUGUCUGUUUUGCAGCCUUGAUGUUUCACUAUGUGGGAACAAGAGACAGGAUGAGUGACAUUUUGUCCCAAAAUAAAUAAAAAAACAU